CCGGAUUGCUAUCGGGAUGGGACUAAGCCAUGCAAGUCUAAAUGGUAUUUCAUGCCUAUAUCAUUGGCAAAUCGCUCAGUAACACGUAGUUAAUCUACCCUAUGGAGGGGCAUAUCCUCGGGAAACUGAGGCUAAUUCCCCAUAGGCCACGCGGACUGGAAUGUUGCGUGACCCAAAGGAACGUGUGAGGCUAUGUGAACACGCUCGCCAUAGGAUGAGACUGCGGCGGAUUAUGGUUGUUGGUGGGGUAACGGCCCACCAAGCCUUUGAUCCGUACGGGCCGUGAGAGCGGGAGCCCGGAGAUGGGAACUGAGAUAAUGUCCCAAGCCCUACGGGGUGCAGCAGGCGCGAAACCUCCGCAAUGCACGCAAGUGUGACGGGGCCAUCCCGAGUGUCUUCGGACUUUUCUUCAGUGUAAGAAGCUGAAGGAAUAAGGGGAGGGCAAGGCUGGUGCCAGCCGCCGCGGUAAAACCAGCUCCUCAAGUGAUUCGGACUUUUAUUGGGCCUAAAGCGUCCGUAGCCGGGCCUGCAAGUCUUCGGUUAAAUCCGGCAGCUCAACUGUCGGCCUGCUGGAGAUACUACAGGCCUUGGAGGCGGGAGAGGUCGAGGGUACUCCUAGGGUAGGGGUGAAAUCCGAUAAUCCUAGGGGGACCACCAGUGGCGAAGGCGCUCGACUAGAACGCGCUCGACGGUGAGGGACGAAAGCCAGGGGAGCGAACCGGAUUAGAUACAUACCCGGGUAGUCCUGUGCUGUAAACGAUGCGAGCUAGGUGUUGGCCCAGCCACGAGCUGGGUCAGUGCCGAAGGGAAGCCGAUAAGCUCGCCGCCUGGGGAGUACGGUCGCAAGGCUGAAACUUAAAGGAAUUGGCGGGGGAGCACCACAAGGGGUGAAGCCUGCGGUUUAAUUGGACUCAACGCCGGAAAGCUUACCAGGGGCGACGACCGAAUGAAGGUCAGGCUGAUGACCUUACCAGACAAGUCGAGAGGAGGUGCAUGGCCGUCGUCAGUUCGUGCCGUGAGGUGUCCUGUUAAGUCAGGCAACGAACGAAACCCACGCCCACAGUUGCGAGCAGGUCCCUUCGGGGAUGCUGGGCACACUGUGGGGACAGUGUGAUGGACCGUGUUCUACUGUGCCCCACACACCCCCAAUGCCAGCGAUAAGUUGGAUGAAGGCGUGGGCCACGGCAGGUCAGUAUGCCCCGAAUCCCCUGGGCCACACGCGGGCUGCAAUGGCGAGGACAAUGGGUUGCUACACCGAAAGGUGACGCUAAUCCCGAAACCUCGUCGUAGUUAGGAUUGAGGGUUGCAACUCACCCUCAUGAAUAUGGAAUCCCUAGUAAUCGCGUGUCAUCAUCGCGCGGUGAAUACGUCCCUGCUCCUUGCACACACCGCCCGUCACUCCAUCUGAGUGGGGUCUGGAUGAGGCACAGUCCUCCGGGCCGUCUCGAAUCUAGGCUCUGCAAGGAGGGAG
rnacentral:rRNA from 1 species